GACCAUUUGAAGUUGGAUCCUUUUAGUAAGCAGUACAGAUGGUUAAUAUAUGUGUCACCUGGCAUCAUAAAUGCAUUGCAAUAAGCAUAUUUGUGUAAAUAAUUAUGGUUUCCUUUAUUUGGCUGUAUGAGAGACAACGAAUAUUAGGCUCAAAUGGAAAUACAAUGCUCUAAUCUCAAUGAACAGUUAAUGUAAUGCUUUAAUAGUACCAUGUGUUGACAGUUAUUGAAAUGACUUAUAGAUUGUGCAUACUGUUUCAACUAUCUUACCUUACAGUUCAUAUCAUGUACAUGUAGACUUCAAACUUCAAUUCCAAACAGAAUGAAUUUGCGUAACAAUAAACUGGGCUCAAUGCAAAUAAACUUAUAAUCUACACUUAGACAGAGAGCUCAAUCCAAUGAUAUACUUUGUAAUACUGGCCAUAAUCAUUAAUUAGUGUCACUGUUAGUUACCAUACUGUUUGGAGAUCCUGAAGAACUAUGAAUUAGAUGUAAAAUACAAAAUACAAAAGAAGAAACGAAAAUUAAAC
rnacentral:lncRNA from 1 species